rnacentral:tmRNA from 1 species
GGGACUGCAAGGCAUAGACAGUAAGCCGUCGUGCUAGCAAUGCAUGUCGAGGAUGAACGCACGCUCGUUAAUAAGCGUUCAAAGCCUAAUUGCAAAAUUAGCAUCAGCUAAAGUAUCUUCAUACUUCAGUAUGAAGGACUUUACUCCAGCGUACGCUUUAGCGUAACUGGCGUCUUCUCCAUCGACUUCCGAUGCAUGGAUGAAGGUGUAAUAUUAUCGGGAUAAGGAAGUACCUGCUCACACACUUCACGAAAAUUUAGAGCUCGACCGAAAGAUAUUUUGUUCGUUUAAUAAUCUUUUGGUUUAAACAUUUAAACCAACUAAACAUGUAGAUUUGCUGGCGCACCCUUUCUGCACGGGGAUUCAAUUUCCCCCAGUUCCACAA